GGCUCAAUAGUUUAAUUGGAUAAAACACGGACCUCCUAAGUCUAAGCUCCCGGUUCGAUUCCGGGUUGGGCCA
rnacentral:tRNA from 1 species